AUGCACGUCUUGCAGCGCACCGGUGAGAGGCGGUUGACGGACUACCAUGCAAGUUUCGUAAGCAUAGACUGUGGCCUGCCGGAGAAUGCCGCCGGCUACGUGGACGACACGACAAAGCUGCGGUACACCGGGGAUACUGGCUUCACCGAUGCAGGCACUAACCACAACAUUUCCGCCGAGUACAUCACCCCGACGAUGGACUCGGGCUGGCACACCUUGCGUAGCUUCCCCACCGGUGUGCGCAACUGCUACACGCUCCGUCCACUCGUGUCGGCAGGGCAAAAAUAUCUCGUGCGCGCCAUGUUCAUGUAUGGAAACUACGACGGUCUUGGCGUGCCGCCCAUCUUCGACCUCCACCUCGGGGUUAACUACUGGAAGACGAUGAACAUUUCAGACCCAGGCGCGACGAUGAUGACGGAAGUCAUCGCUGUUGUCCCAGGCGGCUCCCUGCAGGUGUGCCUGGUGAACACCGGCUCUGGGACGCCGUUCAUCUCCAGCCUGAGCCUAAGGCCCCUCAAGAGUGCACUCUACCCACAGGCUAACGCGACGCAGGGCCUGGUUCUUGCCAUCAGGUCCAGCUUUGGCGGCAAGGGUGUCAGGUAA
rnacentral:rRNA from 1 species